GGAAUCUUCGGCAAUGGACGAAAGUCUGACCGAGCAACGCCGCGUGAGUGAAGAAGGUUUUCGGAUCGUAAAACUCUGUUGGUAGAGAAGAACGUUGGUGAGAGUGGAAAGCUCAUCAAGUGACGGUAACUACCCAGAAAGGGACGGCUAACUACGUGCCNG
rnacentral:rRNA from 1 species